rnacentral:rRNA from 1 species
CAGUAGCCGCGGGAAUACAGAGGGUGCGAGCGUUAAUCGGAUUUACUGGGCGUAAAGCGUGCGUAGGCGGCUUCUUAAGUCGGAUGUGAAAUCCCUGAGCUUAACUUAGGAAUUGCAUUCGAUACUGGGAAGCUAGAGUAUGGGAGAGGAUGGUAGAAUUCCAGGUGUAGCGGUGAAAUGCGUAGAGAUCUGGAGGAAUACCGAUGGCGAAGGCAGCCAUCUGGCCUAAUACUGACGCUGAGGUACGAAAGCAUGGGGAGCAAACAGGAUUAGAUACCCCGGUAGUCCCUGUCUUUUAUAC